AUGGACUAAACAACAGGACAUGUGCUACGACUCUGUUAGAGAGAUCAGGAAGAUGGAGCUCUGCUGGAUGUGACCAAAGAAAGCCUUUCUUCUGCUAUGAUGAUAAACUGAUUCUGAUCAGGGAAAACAAAACCUGGGAGGAAGCCUUGAAUUACUGCAGAGAGAAACACCAUGACCUGGUUUCAAUCAGCAACCCUGAGGAGCAGCGAUGGGUCCAGGAAAGAGCCAAAAACGCCUCCACUCCUUUCGUGUGGCUGGGACUGCGCUACUCCUGCACUCUGGAUUUGUGGUUCUGGAUCAAUGACAACAGAGUGUGCUAUGAGAGGUGGGCUUCAGGGGGAAGGAAUGAAGACUGUGACAUGUCUGCAGCCAUGACCACAGGAGGGCAGCACGAGUGGGUCAGUCAGAAGAAAAAUGAGACAUUUAAUUUUAUUUGUAUAAAACACUGAGGUUUAAACCUAAAGUCACUUCUUAGCUGCACAUGUAGAUUUUCUGGGGUGAACUCUGUGUUUCUGCUCAGUGUUUACAGUCUCUGGGUUUGAAAUGGGAGAAAAAUGACCAACAGAUUAUUACCUGCAGGUUAGAUAUGUGCAGAGAGCAGUCUGUGUUUCAUUUCCUCUCCUUUACCAGAGUCAGGAACAUUUUGGUUUCUUCCUUCAUUGUUGCUGGAUUGGUUCAUUAUUAAACUGUAGCAGGAUAUUUGUUUUGAUUUAGUUCAGAUAUGGUGAUGGUUUGAAUGUUUCUGCUUCAUGUGCUGUAAAUCUUUGUAUCACAUCAUUGUAUCCUCAGCUUGAAUUACAAAGCCUGUCACUAAAAGCAGGUAAAACCA